rnacentral:rRNA from 1 species
UACAGAGGGUGCGAGCGUUAAUCGGAAUUACUGGGCGUAAAGCGUGCGUAGACGGUUAUUUAAGUCGGGUGUGAAAGCCCCGGGCUCAACCUGGGAAUUGCAUUCGAGACUGAAUAGCUAGGGUACGGUAGAGGGAAGCGGAAUUUCCAGUGUAGCGGUGAAAUGCGUAGAUAUCGGAAGGAACAUCAGUGGCGAAAGCGGCUUCCUGGACCAGUACCGACGUUCAGGCACGAAAGCGUGGGGAGCAAACAGG